rnacentral:rRNA from 1 species
CGUAGCCGACCUGAGAGGGUGAUCGGCCACACUGGGACUGAGACACGGCCCAGACUCCUACGGGAGGCAGCAGUAGGGAAUCUUCCGCAAUGGACGAAAGUCUGACGGAGCAACGCCGCGUGAGUGAUGAAGGUUUUCGGAUCGUAAAACUCUGUUGUUAGGGAAGAACAAGUACCGUUCGAAUAGGGCGGCACCUUGACGGUACCUAACCAGAAAGCCACGGCUAACUACGUGCCAGCAGCCGCGGUAAUACGUAGGUGGCAAGCGUUGUCCGGAAUUAUUGGGCGUAAAGCGCGCGCAGGCGGUUUCUUAAGUCUGAUGUGAAAGCCCCCGGCUCAACCGGGGAGGGUCAUUGGAAACUGGGGAACUUGAGUGCAGAAGAGGAGAGUGGAAUUCCACGUGUAGCGGUGAAAUGCGUAGAGAUGUGGAGGAACACCAGUGGCGAAGGCGACUCUCUGGUCUGUAACUGACGCUGAGGCG